rnacentral:rRNA from 1 species
GUAGGUGGCAAGCGUUGUCCGGAAUUAUUGGGCGUAAAGCGCGCGCAGGCGGUCCUUUAAGUCUGGUGUGAAAGCCCACGGCUCAACCGUGGAGGGUCAUUGGAAAUUGGGGACUUGAGUACAGAAGAGGAAAGCGGAAUUCCAAGUGUAGCGGUGAAAUGCGUAGAGAUUUGGAGGAACACCAGUGGCGAAGGCGGCUUUCUGGUCUGUAACUGACGCUGAGGCGCGAAAGCGUGGGGAGCAAACAGGAUUAGAUACCCUGGUAGUCCAGCCGUAAACGAUGAGUGCUAAGUGUUAGGGGUUUCCCGCCCCCUUAGUGCUGCAGCUAACGCAUUAAGCACUCCGCCUGGGGAGUACGGCCGCAAGGCUG